GCUGCCCGGGUCUGUGGCUGCAAGUCCAGGCCAGCUAUGGGCAAAGGGACCCACGUAAGCAGGAGCAAGGCUCCUUGUGAUCAUGGCAUAGCUUAGAAGUAAGUCCGCGGUAAAACCGGGAACGGCAGGUGUGGGGUCAAAGGCCAGGUCAGCCGGGCAGC
rnacentral:ncRNA from 1 species